UCGGCUAGGCCAGCUUGGCGUUGGUUGUCCAAGUUUAAGGUGGUAGGCUGAAAUCUUAGGUAAAUCCGGGGUUUCAAGGCCGAGAGCUGAUGACGAGUCGUCUUUUAGAUGACGAAGUGGUUGAUGCCAUGCUUCCAAGAAAAGCUUCUAAGCUUCAGGUAACCAGGAACCGUACCCCAAACCGACACAGGUGGUCGGGUAGAGAAUACCAAGGCGCUUGAGAGAACUCGGGUGAAGGAACUAGGCAAAAUGGCACCGUAACUUCGGGAGAAGGUGCGCCGGCUAGGGUGAAGGAUUUACUCCGUAAGCUCUGGCUGGUCGAAGAUACCAGGCCGCUGCGACUGUUUAUUAAAAACACAGCACUCUGCAAACACGAAAGUGGACGUAUAGGGUGUGACGCCUGCCCGGUGCCGGAAGGUUAAUUGAUGGGGUUAGCGCAAGCGAAGCUCUUGAUCGAAGCCCCGGUAAACGGCGGCCGUAACAAUAACGGUCCUAAGGUAGCGAAAUUCCUUGUCGGGUAAGUUCCGACCUGCACGAAUGGCGUAACGAUGGCGGCGCUGUCUCCACCCGAGACUCAGUGAAAUUGAAAUCGCUGUGAAGAUGCAGUGUAUCCGCGGCUAGACGGAAAGACCCCGUGAACCUUUACUGUAGCUUUGCACUGGACUUUGAGCCUGCUUGUGUAGGAUAGGUGGGAGGCUUUGAAGCGUGGACGCCAGUUCGCGUGGAGCCAUCCUUGAAAUACCACCCUGGCAUGCUUGAGGUUCUAACCCUGGUCCGUAAUCCGGAUCGAGGACAGUGUAUGGUGGGCAGUUUGACUGGGGCGGUCUCCUCCUAAAGAGUAACGGAGGAGUACGAAGGUGCGCUCAGACCGGUCGGAAAUCGGUCGCGGAGUAUAAAGGCAAAAGCGCGCUUGACUGCGAGACAGACACGUCGAGCAGGUACGAAAGUAGGUCUUAGUGAUCCGGUGGUUCUGUAUGGAAGGGCCAUCGCUCAACGGAUAAAAGGUACUCCGGGGAUAACAGGCUGAUACCGCCCAAGAGUUCAUAUCGACGGCGGUGUUUGGCACCUCGAUGUCGGCUCAUCACAUCCUGGGGCUGAAGCCGGUCCCAAGGGUAUGGCUGUUCGCCAUUUAAAGUGGUACGCGAGCUGGGUUUAGAACGUCGUGAGACAGUUCGGUCCCUAUCUGCCGUGGACGUUUGAGAUUUGAGAGGGGCUGCUCCUAGUACGAGAGGACCGGAGUGGACGAACCUCUGGUGUUCCGGUUGUCACGCCAGUGGCAUUGCCGGGUAGCUAUGUUCGGAAAAGAUAACCGCUGAAAGCAUCUAAGCGGGAAACUUGCCUCAAGAUGAGAUCUCACUGGGAACUUGAUUCCCCUGAAGGGCCGUCGAAGACUACGACGUUGAUAGGCUGGGUGUGUAAGCGUUGUGAGGCGUUGAGCUAACCAGUACUAAUUGCCCGUGAGGCUUGACCG
rnacentral:rRNA from 1 species